rnacentral:rRNA from 1 species
UACGUAGGUGGCAAGCGUUGUCCGGAGUUAUUGGGCGUAAAGCGCGCGCAGGCGGUGCGGUAAGUCUAUGGUGAAAGCGCUCGGCUUAACUGGGCGAGGGCCGUGGAGACUGCCGGACUGGAGGGAGCAGAGGCGAGUGGAAUUCCGGGUGUAGUGGUGAAAUGCGUAGAGAUCCGGAGGAACACCAGUGGCGAAGGCGGACUCGCUGGCUCAACCGUGACGCCUGAGGCGCGAAAGCGUGGGGAGCGAACCGGGAGUAAGAUGACCCCGAGUAG